UGGGCUAACCCUAGAGGGGUAGCUAUAUAGUAGUCAUACAUGGGCCUUAUUGGGCCAUAAUACACACAUACUCCAACACUCCCCCGCAGUCUGAACUACCGACGCAGCGGAGUUGCAGACUGGACAUGAAAAGAAGAAGGACACACACACGAGCCCCCCCACAGACGCAACUAGCCACAGGUGAUGUUGAGGCUGGAGCGAAACUCGGUGAA
rnacentral:lncRNA from 1 species